AGCUUUGUGCAAUGGCAGUAUCGUAGCCAAUGAGGUUUCUCCAAGGCACAAUUAUUGCUAUUUGAAAACUUUUUCCAAUAACCCUCUGUGAGGACUUGCAACAUAGUCAGCAUUGGCAAUUUUUGACAGUCUCUACGGAGA